CACCCACAGCCACCAUCACUCCAACAUUUCAACAACUCAUACUGGACUAGACGUCAUCAUGCAGCAUAGCAGGACAUUGUCUCAGUUGGCACUUUCACACAAUACAAACAAAACAUACAACAGGGCUUUCACACUAUUCAAACGAUUCCUUCUGGAACAUAACAUCAUACAACCGUUUGUUAUGACAUCUUUUUUGGGGUUUGCUUCCUUUUGCCACCUUAAACUCAAAUUGUCAUAUAA